rnacentral:rRNA from 1 species
AUUCUCCAUAAUAGAUAUCUCAGCUCUCGCAUCAAUGAAGAACGUAGCAAUAUGCGAUAAUUGGUAUGAAUUGCAGAAUCCCAUGAACCAUAUAGUAUUUGAACGCAUAUUGUGCCCGAAGCCAUUAGGCCAAGGGAACAUCUACCUAAGCAUCACGCAUUGCGUCGUCCCCCUACAUCGCACCUCAAUCAUGGGGUGCGCAGUUAUCGUAGGGCAAAUACUGGACUCCCGUGAACCUCGAGCUCGUGGCUGGCCUAAAUAAGAGUCUACAUCGACGGACGUCGUGGUAAGUGGUGGUUGUAACUCAACUCUUUAUGUUGUCGUGGCUAUUUCCCAUCGCGCGUCCGGACUCCAGGACCCUUUCGCGCUUAGGCACUUCGACCUCGACCCCAGUCCAGGAAGGAUUACCCGCUGAUUUUAAGCAUAUCAAUAAGCGGAGGAAAAGAAACUUACAAGGAUUCCCUUAGUAACGGUGAGCAAACCGAUAAUAGCCCAGCCUUAAAAUCGAGCGACACUGUCGUCUGAAAUGUAGUUUGGAGAAGCAUCCUCAGUGGCGGACCGGGCCCAAGUCCCCUGGAAGGGGGCACCAGAGAGGGUGAAAGCCCUAUUGUGCCCGGACCCUGUCGCACUAUGAGGCAUUGUGUACGAGUUGGGUUGUUUGAGAAUGCAGGCCAAAUCGGGCGAUGAAUUCCGUCCAAGGCUAAAUAUGGGCAACAGACCGAUAGCGAACAAGUACCGCAAGGGAAAGAUGAAAAGGACUUUGAAAUGAGUGUCAAAGAGUGCUUGAAAUUAUUAGGAAGGAAGUAGAUGAGGGCUGGUGAUGCGCCUCGAUAGGAUGUGGAAUAGCGGCGAGCCGGUCCGCCGAUCGACUCGGGGUGUGGACCAGCGUGGAUUGGGGGGUUGCUAAAGCCCGAACAUUUGAUAUGCUCAUGGAAUGCCAUCUCCUCGAUUGUUGUAGGCAGCGCGUGCCUCCGACAUACUUCGGCAUCUGGGCGCUAUGGACGCUGGCCUAUGGGCUCCCUAAUGGACCAAGGAGUCUGGCAUAUGUGCAAGUCAAUGGGCGAAUAAAUUCGUAAGGCAUAAGGAAGCUGAUUGGUGGUAUCCCUCCUAGCGGUGCACCACCGACCAACCUUAAUCUUAUAAGAAGGGUUCCAGUGUGAGCAUACCUGUUGGGACACGAAAGAUGGUGAACUAUUCCUGAGCGGGGCGAAGCCAGAGGAAACUAUGGUGGAGGCCCGCAGCGAUACUGAUGUGCAAAUCAUUCGUCUGACUUGGGUGUAGGACCCACAACUGCUUUGUCGAGCUGUGCCACAGAAUGAAGAGCUCCAAGUGGGCCAUUUUGGUAACCAUAACUUUCGAUGCGAGAUGAAUCGGAAGUCGGGUUGUGGUGCCCAACUAUGCGCUAAGCUAGAUCCCACAAAGGGUGUUGGUCGAUUAAGAUAGCAGGACAGUGGUCAUGGAAGUCAAAAUCCGCUAAGGAGUGUAUAAAAACUCACCUGCCAAAUAAACUAGACCCAAAAUUAGAUGGCGCUUAAGCGCUUGACCUACACUCGGCCGUCGGGGAAAGUUCCAGGCACUGAUGAGUAGGAUGGAGCGGCGGUCGCUGCAAAACCUUGGGCACGAACUCGGGCCGAGCAGACAUCGGUGCAGAUAUUGGUGGUAGUAGCAAAUAUUCAAAUGAGAACUUUGAAGGCCGAAGAGGGGAAAGGUUCUAUGUGAACGACACUUACACAUGGAUUAGUCGAUCCUAAGGGUCGGGGGAACCCCAACAGAUAGCACGUUUUGUGUGUACUCCGAAAGAUAGCACGUUUUAUGUGUACUCCGAAAGAGAAUCGUGUUAAAAUUCCUAGGCCAGGACGUGGCGGUCAACGACAAUGUUAGAAAGUACGGAGACGUCAGUGAGAGCUUCGAGAAGAGUUAUCUUUUCUGUUGAACUUCCUGCCCACCUUGGAAUCGGCUCAGCCAGAGGUAGGGUGCAGUGGCUAAAAGAGCACCACACAUCGCGUGGUGUCCGGUGCACUACCGGCGGUCCUUGAAAAUCCAGAGGACCGAAUACCGUCCACACUCGGUGGUACUCAUAACCACAUCAGGUCUCCAAGGGGAACAAACUUUGGUCGAUGGAACAAUGUAGGCAAGGAAAGUCGACAAAAUAGAUCCGUAACUUCUGGAAAAGGAUUGAUACUGAGGGCUAGGCACGGGGGUCCCAGUCCCGAACCCGUCGGCUGUCGGUCGACUACUCGAGCUGCUCCCACAGCGAGAGUGGGUCACUGUAUGCCAGUCGGGGGACAGAAUGGGAAUGGUUCCUUCGGGGGCCUUCCUCGUGCGUCGUACAGCCAACUCAGAACAUGUACGGACAAGAGGAAUCCGAUUGUUUAAUUAAAACAAAGCAUUGCGAUGGUCCCAACGGAUAUUCACGCAUUGUGAUUUCUACCCAGUGCUCUGAGUGUCAAACUGAAGAAAUUCAACCAAGCGCGUGUAAACGGCGGGAGUAACUAUAACUUUCUUAAUGUAGCUAAAUGCCUCGUCAUCUAAUUAAUGACGCGCAUGUAUAGAUUAACGAGAUUCCCACUAUCCCUGUCUACUAUCCAGCAAAACCACAGCCAAGGGAUACUUGCUUAGUGUAGCCAAAUUCCUCGGCUCUCGCAUCGAUGAAGAACGUAGCAAAAUGUGAUACUUGGUGUGAAUUGCAGAUUCCCGUGAACCAUAGAGUAUUUGAACGCAAGCUACGCCCAAAGCCAUUUGGCUGAGGGCACAUCUGCCUGGGCAUCACGAAUCGCAUCGCCCCCCUCGCAUCUCAUCUCAAUCAUGGGCACGCUGUUGUUGUGGGGCGAAUACUGGCCUCCGGUGUACCUGGAGCUCGUAGCUAGCCUAAAUGCGAGUCCACGUUGAUGGACGUCGCGACAAGUGGUGGUUGUAUCUCAACUCUCUUUGAUAGUGAGGCUAUAGCCCGUUGCACGUUUGGACUCUAGGACCCUUUCGCGCUUAGGCACUCCGACCGCGAC